UACGAGGGGUGCAAGCGUUGCUCGGAAUUAUUGGGCGUAAAGGGCAAGUAGGUGGUCUCAUUUGUCUGGGGUGAAAGCCUUGAGCUUAACUCAAGAAGUGCCCCGGAAACGGUGAGACUCGAGUAUUGGAGAGGGUCGUGGAAUUCCCGGUGUAGCGGUGAAAUUCGUAGAUAUUCGGAAGAACACCCGUGGCGAAGGCGGCUCUCUGGAACGCAACUGACGCUGAGACGCGAAAGCGUGGGGAGCAAACAGG
rnacentral:rRNA from 1 species